GCAAAUGAUCCGCUUUACAAAUAUCCGCAAGGCUUGGAAGGCAGGCUUAGGCUGCUAAAACAGCCAUCUCUUCCUCCAAUACCUGAAGAGGGACACGCUUCGACAAGGCGGAACGUGUUGGAUGCGCAGUUAAGAAAUCAACUUUUUGCUGGAAGCGGAAUUCCGCCUAUUACUGGGUUCGCUCAUCACCGGCCACACCAUCCUCGAGUACCAGACUACGAUCGCAG
rnacentral:lncRNA from 1 species